GAUGAACGCUAGCGGCAGGCUUAACACAUGCAAGUCGAGGGGUAGAGGAAGCUUGCUUCCUUGAGACCGGCGCACGGGUGCGUAACGCGUAUGCAAUCUACCUUAUACAGGGGGAUAGCCCAGAGAAAUUUGGAUUAAUACCCCAUAGUAUAAUUGAAUGGCAUCAUUUAAUUAUUAAAGUUCCAACGGUAUAAGAUGAGCAUGCGUCCCAUUAGCUAGUUGGUGUGGUAACGGCACACCAAGGCGACGAUGGGUAGGGGUCCUGAGAGGGAGAUCCCCCACACUGGUACUGAGACACGGACCAGACUCCUACGGGAGGCAGCAGUGAGGAAUAUUGGUCAAUGGGCGCAAGCCUGAACCAGCCAUGCCGCGUGCAGGAUGACGGUCCUAUGGAUUGUAAACUGCUUUUGUACAGGAAGAAACACUCCCUCGUGAGGGAGCUUGACGGUACUGUAAGAAUAAGGAUCGGCUAAACUCCGUGCCAGCAGCCGCGGUAAU
rnacentral:rRNA from 1 species